rnacentral:lncRNA from 1 species
CAGGCGCAGUGAACUGUAAAGGAACCUGAAGUCAGUCUGCUCUGAUGAGGAGAAGCAACAUGCACCCUCUGCCUUCUGGAAAAUG